CAUUUUCUUUCUUCAAUCCCAUGCGGCAUUGCGUAUCAACUUUCUAUGAGAACAAAGAUGGCUACAAAACAAAUCGUUCGUGUGCUUCUGGUAUUUGCUGUUUGCAGCAUUUUUAGUCAAGGUGUUCAUGUGGCAAAAGAGAUUUAUAACUAUACACCAUGUGGCACAGAUUUUUUAUGCUUCAACUUACAAAGAAUAAAUGGAAAAAAUACAAAUACAAACAAUUUAACCAUCAAAUUCAAUUUGUAUGGUGAUUGUGUUGAAGACAAAGUAUUACAGCCAUGCUAUUGGGAUUCAGAAAUCUAUUUGUAUAAAUGCAAAAAUGAAAAAGUUGUCUUGUGCACCCUGAAAGAUCUAGUUUAUUGUGAAGUUAAGGUCACUAUUCAUGUUUUUAUGAAAAAGAGCAGAAAAGAAGAGUUUAAUCAGACAUUCGUUCGAUUAAUUGCGUCGGAUGUCCCAGAAUCUGCUCUCAGGAUAAAUUCUGUUGAAGCAAACCCUAUGUCAAGCGACAAGAUUAAAGUGUUAUGGUCCAGACCAGACUGUAAAAACAUGGAGUAUAGUUAUGUUUUAAACUAUACUGCUUCAUCAGGUACUUGGAUAAAAAAGGAGACUUUGUUUGACAUGCCAGAAGACAACACCAGUUUGUCACAAGACAUCAAGUCUCUCAAGCCAUUCACAGAAUACCAAACAUGUGUUGCACCACAUGUGAAAUUUAGGAGAAAUAUUCAGCAGUAUACUUGUGUAUCUACACGCACUCCCGAAGCAGUGCCCUCGAUUGCUCCUGUAAUCGUAAAAAGCACGCCGAUACCUACAAAAAAGCAAAAAUGGAAAUGCAAAAUUGAAUGGAAGUCUGUUCCAAGAGAGCAAUGCAAUGGCAUCGUCAACGAAACCAUUGUUAAGAUUUUUAAGGAAGACGAUCGAAAUAAGGCAUCGAGAGUGAUGCGUAUACCUAUCGACAAAUCGUCUUCUUUUGUGGAUGAGCUGCUGUCAAGCAAAGGGUAUUUCUUGCAACUGGAGAUUUGCAAUUCUGCUGGAUGCACACAAAGCGACCAAAAGUACAUUUCAAUAAACCUAAAAGGAGGAAAUGAAAUUGGUAACGGAGUCAUUUUUCUUUAUUUGCUUGGUGUUCUUGGAAUUGGCCUUAUUCUCUUCCUUGUUGUUUUUAUAUUGCUCAAGAGGAAGAAAACAAAAGUGUCAUCGGAGAAUCAGCCCGUCUUUGUCGAAUGCCCUGCUGAUAUGUCUCCAGUGCCCAGUAUAGAUGUCUCCAGUGUCCAGUAUAGUGCCAAUAAUAUUUAUGAGCAAAUUGAAGACGGAGAAGGGAUCUAUGAAGAAAUUGAUGAAAACUACAGAAGAAUAGAGCCCAUUGCAAAUGCACAUGACAAUUUUCAAAGGCUAUUUAAUGUAGCAGAAGAUGGAAGUAGUCGUGAAGAGGAUUUGGUUUUAUGUGGACGGACGAGUUUUGCUGCCGAUUCUGAUACUGAAGCAGAUGACUUAUUAGCAGAUGCAGAAUCAGCUGAUUGUGAAACGCCAAUAAGAACCUAUUCAUUUGAAACAGACCCUUUAAUGCCCUGUCAACAAUGGAGCACAUAAAAACUUUUUUAUUGGCUGCUUUAACAUUUCUUAGAUGUUUGCAAGGUCAAUCACGGCAUCCUCCCUUUGCUGCGAAUUCUGUUCCAAGUCAAGAUGUCAUGGCUUAAAAGGUUAUCAGUUCCACUGUAAACCAGUUUGUAUUCAAUAGAUCGCUGAUGAGGUUUGAAGGAGCUCUAGAACAUUUAAGAAUAAGUAAAGGUGCUGGUGCCUUCAAAUAAUUCGCUGCCUCGAAGAAGUACGACAGAGUACACGAAUUAUCCAGCAAAUAAUUGGUGUAUAUUAUUUUUAGAUAUUUUCUGAUAAAAUGAAAUUCUCUAAUGAAAUGAAAUUUUCUGAUGACAUAAAAUUUUCUUAGACGCAAGCAAUAAUUGGUAUUUUUUCCAAAGGAAUUAAGAAAGUUUUGAGAGGUUUUCUUGUACUUGAGUAUCAUUAUAUGAACAAUGUGUGACUAAAGUAAUAAUUAGAUGCCCAGGCCCCCUCACUAUCCUAUGCCAUGCCUCCUUCCCCUACCAUACCCUUUCCCCUUCUGUGUCCCUUUCUCUUACCUCCCCUUACUCCUACCGUGCCCCUUUCCCCACAUUAUCCUCUUUUUAUGUCUUUUCUUCUUUCCAUGAUCUGCCCCCUUCCUAUACCCAGCCCAUUUCCUUAACCUGUCCCCUUCCCUACCGUACCCGCUUCCCAUGACCGUGCCCCUUUCCCAUGCAGUGACUCUUUUUAUACUGCAUCCUGUCUGUCAUGUCUUCUCCAUUCCUUGAGCCCAAUUAUUUAACCCCUGUUCCCCCAUAAUCCCUCCUCUGAUCCAACCCCCAUCCCAAUUGUAAAUUUUGGCAUUCAUAUUCAACCUAAUUCAAGUUUGGUAUAAAAUUUUUCUUAAGAGCAUUGACCAAUUUAAAACUAUUUAUUACACUUAGAAGUGUUCCAAGUUAUAAGAUUGAUGUGACUAAACAUGAAUACAUGGAAUGAGAAUUAAGUGUAAAUAAUUUGUAGGUUGUAUGUUAUUGUGAGUUGUUUAUCGUUUGGUUUAUCGACUUUUAUCUGCCAUUGUUGUAUAUGUGAAAACAGAUAUGUGAUAUAUUGUUUGUUGUACCUUUGCUGUAAAAAUUUAUAUUGAUGGAUCUUUUAGCACAGGUAUUUUUGCAUAUACUAACGAGUUCUUAUUUCGUAACUAAGUACUUGAUAUGCAAAAUUGUAUCAUAUUAUUUUUCAUCAUUGUCCUUGUAACUGCAAAAAUCUUCUUUUUCACCUGUGUACACUCAUCAGACAUAAAGAACGUUCAUAAAUGGCAUUGUUCUAUUCAUAAAAUGGCGCAGCCUUAAUAGGGAUUUGCUAGAUUAAUAAAUAAAGUUCUGCCAAUUUUUCUUCUGGUUUUAUUUAUAGCCAGAAUGGCCGCAAAUAAACCUAUUCCAGAAACACUGCAAAAGAUCAGGGCAACACGAAAAUGGAUAAAGCGAUAAUUGAAGAUUAGCCGGUAACUGAAAGCCUCUGAUUACUCUGCCUUUCUCUUUGACAAAUUCAGUAGAUUGAAGAUGUUUUUGUCUUUUCUUCAAUCCACACGAAAUGAAUAUCUUUUUUGGCCUUUAGACGCGUUUGCCUUUAAAGAAGAAGAACAAAUACUUCUUGCUUAAAUUUUGAUGGCACAGCUAUUUAGAAUAAAUAAAGACCAAGCAGAAACUAUCCAAAUUUUAGACUUUGCACCGUCGUCUAUGGUCACAUUUUACGUCAAUUGUAUUUUGUAGCUCUAUUUUUCAAUAUUUUCGAAUUUUAGUACAUGCAAUUCACGAGAAACAUUACAUCUUCAUCUUACUUUGGACUGAUAUGCAGAUCAGGAUGUACAAGCCAGCAAAAUGUCCCUUUAAAGUUUUUAUUGAACUUAAUAUGAAAAUUGGCCUUUUAGGUAGUUUGGUGCAAAAAGAAGUUUAGAAAAUAUGGACCACUUUUAAUAUAUUUUUAUUUAGUACAAUCCCACACAAAUGCAAUCAAUUUAUAUUUCAUCAGAUUUUUUAUCUUCUCCCAAAUUAUACGCCCUGUUUAAUACGUGCUGACAAACAUGUCCACAAUUCCCAAGAGUCCAUUCGAAUUAUGCAUGGAUCGAGAACAAAAGAAGGCGUGGAUUCAUGAAGGGCGGGAAGUAUAAAUGCUUUGGUCUUACAGCUAUUCGCUAUUUGCCAUUCAUGCUUGGGUUUGGAACUUGUCUCUGUACAUCCACUGGCUGCAGCCUUAAGGAAAUUUGUAAGUUAGCAAACGCCUCGUUUUGUUUCUGUCGAGCAACUUUCCUUGACGUUCUGUCUUAUGAAGAAUUUAUUUUGGGGCAUGUAGCUAUAUCAUAUGUAAUGUGUUUUUCUUACUUUCAAGGCGUCAAAGUCGUGCUUGCAAAAACGAGAAGGACAAGAUGGUUGGCCUAAGCGUUAAAAUGGCUGCUACUACCAUUUUGCAUUUUAUCUGCUUUGAAACACUGCGGAAGAUGUACAUAAUUGAAAAGGUAUUUAAAGUAUAUUCUUGUCGUGAAAAUCUCAACCUAUUGACUAUUUGCAAAAGAUAAAAAACUCUUUCAUUGUAUAUUUUGGGUCAUAGAAUAAUUUUUGUAAAUGUAUUCUAAAUGAAUUUUUAAGAAAAUAACAUUUCUGUAGUAAUAGCCUUAGUAACGUUUUCAUAAUAGUUUUCAUAGAAAAUAACAAAAUACACUAGCAUCACUGCAAAGAAUAAAGAGCGAUUGUAUUUAAAAUUUUUUGUAUCUUUUACGUGCCAUUAAUGUGAGCUGAAAAGCUUUUAUGUGGAUGUAUCAACAAUGCGGACAGAAAUGGCAAGAUCUUUAGGGAAAAUAAUUGCACCUCUUUUCGGGAUUAUCUAGCUUCAAAAGUUUUUAAGCUCGAAAUAAAUUAUAAAAAGUAUCAUCUGUACACAAGAUGAAAGGGGAAUGAACUCCAAAUCAAAUCAAAUGUUGCCUGAUAAUUGCAUUAAGCGUGAAACUUGGAGUAGCGACUUAGAACCGUCCUGUUCUAUUCACCAAAUCAUGAAAAUCAAAUUAUAUACAAAAUCCAAGAUGUUGAGCAAAGAAAUAACAAAAGACCGGUAACUAAUUUUCAGAUGUUUCAAAAUUUUCGAAGCUUUGCUCUUAGGAAAUUCCUUUUUAAGUAAAAGAAAAGCACUUUUUCAUGAACUUUGUAAAAACCAGAAACAUGGCGUUUUGUCAAAAACCUGUUUGACUGCACGACAUUUGCUUUUUUCAAAUUUCACAAGUCAGAACAAUUUUCUACUAAAAUGUAAACCUUUCACUAAGAAGUAAAAGCACUUUUGGAAAGUUUCGGCCAACUGCCAUUGACUUCACUGGAUGUUUUUUAAUGAUGUUUUGAGUUGUUUGAGAUUGGUUCGUUUUGGUAUAGGUGGCGUUUAGGUUCGAUAGUGGUUCUCAUUAGGUGUGGCUUAGUUUUUGUUGGGUGUGGCUUGGUUUUGGUUGGGCGUGGCUUGGUUUUGGUUGGGCGUGGCUUGGUUUUGGUUGGCCGUGCUUUAGUUUUGGUUGGCUGUGGUUUAGUUUUGGUUGAUGUAGUUUUGACUUGUUUUUUGUCUGGAAAGUUAACAUCUUAAAAAUAUAUUCAGUGAAUCAAGGCUGAACCAAAAUACAAACUAGUUGAGGAAAGAGUCAUUUUUAAGGCUGCCUUCCAAAAAGCAAAGUGUUGUGACAUUAUCAAUAAACCAGGGUGAAAAUGAAAUUCUUGGUGUAACAGAAAAUGGAGCAAAUCUUCCCCUAAUUAUUUUUGAUUGACUCUCAAAAGCACAGGUUGCAGACCUUUCGACAAAUCACAAUCGUAUUUCUUGUACAAAGAAAACAACAUCUAUGAGCUUUUUCUAGCAAAACUUGAUUCGUAUAAAUCUUCCGUUCACGAGACAUUUUCACUUGAAAAAUGAUAUCAUACAGAAUUCCUUACGUUUCCUCGUACAUAUACAUCGUUUUUAGCUUUUUCUGUGGUUAAGCUAUACGUUUAUACGUUUUCCUUUGUAAGUUCAUUCCACGACAAAAACUUUUAUCUUUCCCUCAUCACAAGUGAACGAAAAAGAUGAAGGGCAUUUUCUAUUAGUGACUUAUAAAACACUGACCUCAAAUUAUUAUUCUAAGCAUGUUUUUCUAAUAUCCAGAACGCUAUAUUUUUUAAAGAAAAGUGCGCCUACAUUGAGAUUUUGUCAAAUUCACACGAAUUCUGGUUCCGAUAUUAUAUGCUAGAAACUGUCUCAUUAAAUCCAUGUUACAUGCUUUUUAUUCAACAUAUUUUCUUUCUCUUUCAGGUCAGGACUUGCAAAGUCAACAUUUCAUUCUUUCAAGACACUUUUUACUUUUUACCGUCUUAGCUUUUAAGUACCUUUUAUAAACUUUUUCUGAAAUUUUUUUAGCUUCACACGAAGUAAACGCAUGAAAGGUUGAAAAUAUGGACAUCAAAGGCUCUUUUGCUCAUAUCUUUUUGCUUUGUGAACUUGAGCACGGCUUUUCAAUUACUUGAAAUUGACGGUAACAUUUGAAAAAACUGCAAAUAUUUUCUUGGACUUUUAUACUUCUCUAAAAGUUGCUUCUAUUGUCUUAAAAUGUUUUAUGUUUUUCUUUCAGGUUUGGUCUCCGUCGUGCAAGAUUUUUCUUUUGCAAAACUUUUCAAUGUUUUAGAAUUUUUGCUUUUCAGAACCUUUGUUAAUCAUUUUUUAGUUUUGCUUUUGCUUCAGACGAAAGACCAGAAUGACAAUUUGAAAACAUGGACUAUAAGAGGAAAGUUAUCCUUUGAUCGUAGUUUUUCUCUCUUUAUUUUUCAGAAUAGUUUCUCGAUUGCUUGAAAACGUAUGACAAUAUUUGAAAAAGUACUAAUACAACAUUCUUUAUGG